CAUGCGCAUGCACAUGCCCUUCAGUGCGCACCCGCGCAACUGCGCGCUUGUGUUGUUCCGGUGUUCCCGAGCUUCUCAGGUAACCUGGCGGUCCGAGAUGUGAGACCUGCAGGCAAAUAGCAGUGGCAGACAGACGGGCGCGACGAAUGGCCGCAGCGACAUUCCUCAGGCAGAGGUAGGCGGCUGUAGGCGGGAUCUGGGCCGCACCGGGGAUAGACCCCGAGCCCCGACUCCGCGUGAGUGCGGCUCCGGCCCGGCUGCCCUCCCACGUCCCCAGCUGGAUCCCGAAGCCCUCUAGUCUGACUUCGGCCAAGCGCGCUUAGGCUUGGAUCAGCCGGGUAAGAGGGUUUGACGAAGCCAGCUGGGUGGUUGUGGACGUGUGGGGCGGGAGAGACGGAGCCCAUGAUGCCAGCUCGCAAGCGCGUUAGCCCAGCGUCCAUCGGAAUUAUUUUGUAUAUAUCCAAGAUCUCUUGCCUCUGUGGCGCUAGGUCGUCUGGCUUCAGAACUCAGCUGCCAUAGGUUGAAAGACGGGAAUACUGGUGACCUUUACACCGAAAGAGGGGCAGCUACCUUUAGAGAACCCUGCCAUUCUUUUUGGGGCUUGUUUGAGGAAUAAUUAUUUGCCAGUCCUAUAACUAAAACUUGUUUAUUGUGGAAAAUAAGAUGUUUAAUUGUAAGGAAAAGAGAGCAAUUGUUGCAUAGUUGAAAAAAAGGGAGAGUAUCAUGAAGAAACAAGGGAAAAGAAAUACAAUGAAUCGUGGGGUCUUUUGAAGCCUGUUUUUACUAAAAUCCUGCUUGAUGGAGAUUUUUUGUCCUGGCAUUGUGGAAAGUGUCUUUGAUGUUUGCCUCACUGAAAAAGUUGGUAUUGCAAGAAUAAAGUUUGAGCAACGUGUCAAUACUAGGGCCCACGGGUAUUAACCAAGAGGAUGAAAGCAAGAACAAGAUGACCCAAUUUGCUAAACUUACGUUUUAAAAUUAAGACUGGAAGACUAUCGAAGAACUUUUGAAAUUUUAGAGUUUGUAAUCCCUUUGUGUCAUAGUCAAUAAAGGCUAAUUAGUGGAAGAUUAAUUUUGUUUCCUCAAGGUAUUUCAAAUGACACAUAAAAUCAAAAUCGUAAAUAUAUAUUGCAUAUAUUAUGUGUUAAAGUGUUUUCAAGAACAUCUGAAGUAAGGGAUUGGUAUGCUUUUGCGUAGCUUUUAGUUUUUAUUUUUAAGGAUUUGUAUAGAUAAUGCCUUCACAAAGCUCAAAAGAGAAAAGGUGCAAAAUAUAGCUAAACUAUUUCUUGUCUAUUCCACUACAACCCCCAAGCUACAUGAAAAUUGAAAUAAUAGCAUAAGUGGAAAUGAGAACUGUGGUUGAAGAGGAGAUUCUCCACCAUGGAGGAAAUGAGUCUCUGAGAGAGCACUGACUUUGAUCCUCAGCAGAAACAUGGGGGAGAGGUGGAGAAAGUCCUUGUGUCCUCAUGAGCCCACGCCAGGCCCCUUGGCUCUGGUGAGUGGUGACCACUCUCACACACCUGGGCUCCAGCCACACCAUCUCCUUUCUCUUUUGGUGUCCAUGUGCAUUGAAAUCUCAAGAGUUCCUGCUUCUGCAGAUUCAAGGAGACAGGUGAGAUUCUUAAGUCUAGUCCUUGAGUUGUGUGCUCCUUAGCUCCAGACCCAUGUGAGGACAGGCGCAGGUGCAGGUGAUUGGACUUCAGCCAUAGUGAAGUCUUCACCCGAGGUGGAAGACUCAGGAACCUUCCUCAAGUUCUCUUUCUCUGAUAAUAGAAAACAUCUCGAAAACCUGUAUUAGAAUUUGAAGAAGGAAUGUGUAGAAUUCCUCUCCUUCCAUUUGUUCCCUCUCUUUCUUUGUUUUCCUCUUCAGCUUUAUUGACUGUAAAUUGAAAGUGUUUUCCAAAAGUUGAUCCAAGUUACCAAACAAUCUGUAUUUUGAUGAGGAAUUAUUAAAAUAGCACUUCAAUAUUAGGCAUGGCCUGUUGGUGACACCCGUUGUUUCCUAUCUGUCGCUUCCUUGCCAUGUAACCUUCUUGCCCCCAUGGGCAACCCUGCUUCUGCCUUUCCUCUUUGCUUUUCUUUUAGUUUCAUCACUUUGUUGAAUGUUGCUUGUAGGUAAUUUUCCAGGAGGGCUCCUUCUGGGUCAUGCAUCUUUAGUUGACAUUUCUGUUUUUAGGAUUCAUCUGUAUUGCUGUGUGCAGCUGUAGUUACUUCAUUUUCACUGCUGUAUACUCUGAAGUUUUAUAAAUAGAUCAACACAUACAUACCAGUUUUACUGUUGAUGGACAUUGGGAGGGUCCCAGCUUGGGACAAUUGCAAACAUUGCUUUCUACACAAAAUUGUCCCAGUCCCCUCAUGCUGAUCAUUUUUUUCUUCAUGGAAAAUUCCAAGACAUAUCAUAGACUCCCUGAAAUUUAAAACAAAUCUCUCCCUUUCUGACUGUGAAUGUAAGAAAUUGUUCAUAAGGCAAACAGAGACUUACUGAGAAGGCAAGAAUUAUGACACACUAAGGAUUCGAAUCUUUAGAGGACCUCUGACAGAUGGGGCUGCCCAGAGUCCACCCAAAAGCAGACAUUCCAAGGAGAAAAGUCACUUUUAGGAAUGGACUGUUGGGUCAGGAGGGGUCUUCUGAUAUCAGGGUCCAGGCUCUGACAUGGGAUAGGUUACAGUGGUAGGCACUGCAGGGGAUGGCAAUGGAGGUGUCAUAACCCCAUGUUAGUGGGGGGAGAAGAAUGGGCCCCGCAAGGAAAACCAUCAGGGAGAGCUGAUACUGUGUGCCCUGAUCAAAGACUUCACCUUGCAUCCUUCUCCAGCCAGGGUUCACACUCUGCAAAGCAGUGACUGCCCUGGGCACUGUUGGAGCCUGCAGCUUCUCCUCUGUGAAAUGGCUUUUUCCUUUCUCAGUCUGCAGGGAGGGUGGGAGCAGCGUAUGGUCAUCCAUGAGCACUUUUUACAUGAACAAGUUAGCUUUUUUUAAGUCUGGGUCUCAACCUUUCCUGAAACAAAGUUGCAUAUUCCUCAUGCCUAACCUGAGAAGGAGACAGCAUAGGAGUUUUAUUUUUUGUUUUUUCUGGUUGAGUGGAGGGACCUGUGAGCUUUGGACUUCAGGUAGGUGGAAGGGAGCCCCCACGAGUGCCCCACUCUCCUCAUUGUAGAGUGUGGCUCCCACUCAGCCGUGCUCAGCUCAGACACAUUCCCUCCCACCCUGCUACUCACUUAGUUAUUCACAUUCCAAAUCACCUCUCAGUCCAGAAACCUGCAUGCACACCCUUUCCCUUCUCUUUCUAUUGCAGCCUUUCUGACACCUGUGGGAAAGUCCUAUGGCUCUACUUGAAUAAAACAGCCAUGAAUUGAAAAAUUUUUAUUUCCUGCCAGUUCACCCAGGACAGGCAGUUUUGUAUCUACUCUGAGUGUCUUGCUGUUUUCUUAAUAAAAAAAUGUCUUUUCUAUAACUUCUCUCCUUAACAGUGAUGUGAUAGAAAUAGAAUUUGCAAGAUUCCAACAGUGAAUUAUGAAAUCAUUUAUGUCUGCACCAUGGAUUUCUUGGGAAACUUUAUCUGGCUUUUAACUAGAUGUGCAAAGGAAACAUGGUCAGAUUUUCAGUUUGCUUAAAAGUUUACCCAGGGUCAUAAGGAAGUAAAGUAAUGAAGAGCCCUUGGCAGCCUCCCCGUGGGUCCCAAAUUGAUCUGUGAUUAUUCGCUCAGUUUCAAGUUGGAUAAAAGGAUUGGACACAUUCAGAACAUGGUAGAAUUUCACAUUGGUUCGGUCAUGUAAUGGCCUAUAUUUCAGUUCCGUGAACUAUGACUGCCAUUCACUGCCAGUGUCCUAGUUUCUCUUUACAGUCUCUGAGAUGUGAGCUGGUGGUGGCCAAGAAUGAAACUCGUGUUCCUAGAGAGUUAAAACAGUACAAGUGUUGCAAAACAUAUGAUAUUAUUUUUAAUAGCUGAUUAGCAUAUAAAAAGAUUCCCAAAUAUGAAUAAAAUGUAAAUCUUUGGGCAUAAACAUUAGGGAAGGCCAGAAAGUUUGAACAUAUUCUUUACUACUGAGGUCUAUAGAGAAAGUUACCUUAUAGGUGUUAAUAUAUCAGAUUUUACAUGCACACAUUUUCGACCCAGUUAUUCCAUUUCUUUGUAAUUAUCUUCCAAUAUAAGUAUCAGAAGGUUGAUAAUGACAAAAGGGUUGAUUAGAGAGCUUAAUGUGGCAUUAUUUGUGAGAGCAAAACAUUGGAAACAACCUAAAUGCACAUCAAAAAGGUCAAGUUCAAUAAUUUUGGGUACUCCUAUUGAGACAGUAUGCAGUCUUUAAAAACUGAGACACCACCAUGGUUAGGUGAUGUCCUCAAGAUAUAUUCUUUAAGAACAAAUCAACUUGUAAUGUGUAAUGUGUAGAGCAGUUUAUGCCAGGAUUUGUUUAUAAAGCAAAUGAAAUCGUAGACCUGUAUGCUUCUAUAGGCAUAGGUUUCCUCUGAAAGGAGAGCAGAGCACUGGUAAUGUUCGCAGGAGUCAAACUGGAGUCCAGGAGUGAGACAAAGGCUUAAUCUUUGACUGACUACAACAGUUUUAUUCUUACACAUAUUGUAUUCAUUCAGCUGAAUGAAAAUGUAAGUAACUGCCUAAGUAGAAAUGAGCACUGUAAGAAAAGACAGUGGAGAUUCCGUACCUUGGGGGAAAUGGCAGGUAAGCUGACCUUGACCCUGGUCAGAUUUAGGAAAUGAGCUGAAAAUGGCAGUGCAAACAGAAGGUGCUCUGUGGUGAAAAGCCUGGGGCAAGGGUAGUAAUGGGAGGAGCCCAAGGGACUGAGCUGCCUCCUGCUCUGGAAGCCCGCAAAGACCACGUGCUGGGAGCUCCUGGGUGCUCACCUGGGACUCCUUGUUCAGCACUGAGAGGCCCACGUCAAAUUGUUUUCCAUCUUUGAAGGGCAUGUUGUGGCAUGUCACCUCACACGUCCAGGCCUCACAUUAGUGAAUAUUCAUGACCACACAAUGGCCAAGAUACACUCAGAAAUGGAAGGUGAUGUCUGAGUCCUCAUUCACUCCUGUGUGGGAAUACCCCUGCAGCUGUGGGUCAUUGCUGAGGGUAAAGCACACAGCAGAUUGUGCAAAACCCUCCCUUGUGGGGCACAGACAGGACAUACAUAGAAAUUCCUUCGCCCUUUUCCUCAGGGCAGACGGAAGCCUUUCUGGUGCUGCUAUAACCCUCAUCCCUGUGGGGUUGCUUCAGCUCCUCCUGACCUUCAGAAGUGAGACGCUCUGCCCGUGUUCCCAGAUGGAAACUGAGCCACAGUAACUGACCUGUGGCUAUAAGUUAUCCAUUCCUUGAAAAUUCUAUGCCCCUUGAUAAAGAGCCACAGCCCAAACCCACUGAGUGUCCUCCUCCCGUAGGCCAUAUGACUGGCCCACAGUGCAGGAACUGCAAGUUUCAUGCCUGGUGCUGGAGGGUCUCCAGGACCUUCACCUGCAUGGUGUCUCCAUGCUGCCAAGUAGACAUUUCCACAUCACUCACAUGAGACCACCUCCUAAGUAAAUAUUCUCCCUCUUCCUGUACCACGCACCAUCCUUGGACCAUGGAGUACUCACACAAAAGGGAGGAUCAGUGUCCCUCUAAUUGUCACUCAAGAAUGACCAGACAAGUACACAGGCCAUGUAUGUGGUGCCUGCCACGGAGAUUGAGAGUGGAUGAGACAGGCAGGGCCAGGUACGGCCUCUCCUUCUAUAACAGAUUCUCAUGAUGCAGGAGGUUCGAGACCAAGGGCAAACUCAGGCCUCCUCAUUCCCACUCUACCACAGUCAGGCCUCUUAUUCCUGAGGAAAUAGGGGUGGGGGCAUAGUUAUGAGUUAGGCAUCAGGAACCAGGCUACCUGGAUCUCUGUCCUGAUUUUGCCUCUUACUAGUAGUGCCAUCUUAGAUCUGUUACUUAAAUGUUCUCUAUCUCAGUUUCCCCCAUCCAAAGAGGAUUACUAGAAAUUUCUUCUUUGUAGGAGGUUCGCAUGGAUAGAACAGUUAAUGUAUGUAAGACUUUUACCCUAAUCCCUGGCAUGUAUGGGGCCAGUUAGAUGUUACUGAAAGAAGAGGGUGGGUUCUUCUGGAACACUGCCCUGCCUUCAUUUUCAACUCUGAAACUGUGAAAACAAGAUACAAGGAUGUAACAGUAAAGUAAUUCACUCCAGUGAGAAAUAAUACUUGUUGAAAGAGAGAGGGAAAUAACAAGAGAACAGUAAACCCCGUAUGUGUGGGGUGCACAUGCAUCACAAUCAUCAAGGGCCAUGGACAUCCUUCCCAGAAGACGCACAGAUUGUUAAAAGCACAGCUUCAGUACUUGCACAAAUAGAGUGUGGGCCAGAGAAAUAACUGGAGGGAAUCUACAAGUGGCUGAUAUUUGUUCUCUUUUGAGAUAGGGUCACAUUCUAUUGCUCAGGCUUACGUGCAGUCAUGCAACCCUAGCUCACUGUAACCUUGACACCACCACCCCUGUUUGCAGGCCUGUGUCUGUGAUGCAGCGGAAAUCACCGUGGUGGAGGUACCAGGGGGGAGGAAGGAGUAACACGGAAAUGCACAGAUAAGAAUGACGGAGUGAAGGGUUGUGCAAUCCAGCCUUCGUGCCUCUCAUGAAGUUUUUUCUCCACUGUGCAGAAAUCGACCCGGAAGGUGUACAUUGUCCUAACUUGUGCAAUAGUUUAAAAAAGAAAGGUGGAGAUUCUGGAGAAAGGUGUUGGCCCUAAAAGGUAAUGCUUCUGGGCCGGGCACGGUGGUUCAUGCCUGUAAUCCCAGUACUUUGGGAGGCCGAGGUGGGUGGAUCACUUGAGGCCAGGA